CCUACGGGGGGCAGCAGUGGGGAAUAUUGCACAAUGAGGGAAACCCUGAUGCAGCGACGCCGCGUGAGUGAAGAAGUAUCUCGGUACGUAAAGCUCUAUCAGCAGGGAAGAAAAUGACGGUACCUGACUAAGAAGUCCCGGCUAACUACGUGCCAGCAGCCGCGGUAAUACGUAGGGGGCAAGCGUUAUCCGGAUUUACUGGGUGUAAAGGGAGCGUAGACGGCAGGACAAGUCUGGAGUGAAAUCCCGGGGCUUAACCCCGGAACUGCUGUGGAAACUGUGCGGCUGGAGUGCAGGAGGGGUAAGCGGAAUUCCUGGUGUAGCGGUGAAAUGCGUAGAUAUUAGGAGGAACACCGGUGGCGAAGGCGGCUUACUGGACUGUAACUGACGUUGAGGCUCGAAAGCGUGGGGAGCAAACAGGAUUAGAUACCCCUGUAGU
rnacentral:rRNA from 1 species